rnacentral:lncRNA from 10 species
CAGCAUCCCUCGGGGGAGGCCAGUCCCCCAGGUCUGUUUUGUGACCCUUGGCUGCACAUUCUCCCAGAUAGGAGCUACAAACCAGGGCCCUGCGUCAGACCCUUGGGGAUGGGGGAGGUCUAGAAAAACCCACGGAGGAAGAAUAAUGGUACCAGAGGGAACUUUAACUCCUAGAAUCAGGGACCGGGAAAACCUGAAGUUCAGGAAAGCUGCUAAUGAAGUGAGAUGGAAGCCACGUGCCUUGCCAGGAGCUUACUAACGUAAUGUGGCACCCGCCAGCCUAUUCUGCAGACAUAAUGGAAGAGAGUGUUUCCACUGCUCAUUCCACAGGCAAGCCACAGAUCCUGGCCACUCCUUGCCUUGGAGGCAGUACAGACACAUUCAUAGGGUUUGGCUCCUUUCCCUUGAGUUCUGCACCUUAAACUAAAGAAGUCAGUCACGCGAGGCUGGCUUGCUGGAACCGGCUAGAAAAUGCAGCCCUGCCUGCCGCAGGGAUCUCCUCCGGUAUGGCCACACAUAUGAGUUCUGGCAAUGCCCAUUAGUGAUAUGGCCGAUAGUUUCUUCUGUCUUGCUUCCAGGAACCUUUUCUUGGUUUGAAGCCACCGAACCAGAAGAGAGAAUUUUUACCACUUUGAGGACUUCUUGUGACGAAUCCAAUGGGAAUUCCAUAAUAUUCAGAAACAAAACAUUUUGAGGGCCAACAAAUUAUUAAGCCCUUUGCUAGGUCUUAGAGAUACAAAGAUAAAGAAGACUGGAGUUUUCUUUUUAUUAUCUACCAGACUGAAGGCCACUGCCUGGGGACUUGAUCUAAGAGAAGAAAUAUCAGGAGACCUGGGUUUGGCUCCUGGCUCUGCCAGGUGAUCAUGGAGCAGUCACGUAUUAUCCCUGAGCUUCCGUUUCCUCAUCUACUUAAUUAGUGAUGGGUCUACAGGGCCUUGCUGGGGUCCACUUCUGACAUUCUGUGUUGCAUGGACCAUGUCAGAGAAGAUGGAGACACCUUCACGGCCUGUUAGUCACAUCUCACCAAAGCUUCUCAAUGGGCUGUCAGACAAGAAAGGAGCCUCCUGUAGCCAUCUUAAUCAGCAUCCCCCAUCUGUGAGGUCAUCGGGAUAUUUCAAACAAUCUUCAGCUCUCAUUAGUUGAGUGCGUUUCACAGAUAGUUGUCCGGAAAAGGAAGAGGAUGACACUGAUGACCAGCCGUCUUGGGUGGUUCACAGGCUCACUAAGGAGGCAGUGUUGAGCCUGACGGAUCUGUGAAGGCCCCUCCGACUUGUAACUGUAAAAUGAUGACUCUUGAUGGAACUCUACAGUUGUUGACACCUGGUGGGCCACCUACAGCUGAAGGUUCAAAGUGAUAAAACAAACCUGGUACGGAAAUAACUGAUUGUGGAACGCGAAGGACCUGUGAUCAUGCAAAGGUGACAGAGCAGACACUGAUAGUAGAACUGUGGAGAAGUAUCCCUGGAGAUGACCCACAAUCUCAAGAAGGCUGAAGAGGAGAGGAAGAGAAUGGAUAAAUCGAAACAAGUGUUUAGAUGAUCAAGGCCUUAUAAGCCAUACUAAGGUCCAAGACAUUGUGGAACAGAGACAAGCCAUUUCUACUGUGUCCUUAUUGAAUACCUGGCCCACAGUAUCCCUGACCAUAACAAAAUGCUACCCAUCAAAUAAGAGAACCCAUUGCAGAACCAGAAGGGACAUCAUCCAAGCUGUCUGAAAUCCCGGUUGGUACUCCAGGCUUCAACAACUGCAGCACAAUGAGAGACAGCAAAGAACAUCCUGGCCUUUGACAACCCCCUGUCUUCUAACAUACUGAGGUUAAUCAGACCGAGGACAAUUUGGAAGGGGCUCUCUGCCACAACUUGGGGAGUGGAGACAGGACGGGGGAGGAGCCAAGAUGACCGAAUAGGAACAGCUUCGGUCCACAGCUCCCAGCGUGAGCGAUGCAGAAGACGGGUGAUUUCUGCAUUUCCAACUGAGGGACAUGGAUGAAACUGGAAACCAUCAUUCUCAGCAAACUAUUGCAAGGACAGAAAACCGAACACCCCAUGUUCUCACUCAUAGGUGGGAAUUGAACAAUGAGAACACAUGGACACAGGAAGGGGAACAUCACACACCGGGGACUGUUGUGGGGUGUGGGGAGGGGGGAGGGAUAGCAUUAGGAUAUAUACCUAAUGCUAAGUGACGAGUUAAUGGGUACAGCACACCAACAUGGCACAUGUGUAUAUAUGUAACAAACCUGCAUGUUGUGCACAUGUACCCUAAAACUUAAAGUAUAAUAAUUAAAAAAAAAAAAAGACAGGACGAUAAUACACAUUUGGUGAUACAAUUAAGAAACAUGAUAUUGGAAAGUUGCUGACCAAGUGCCACCUAGCAUUCCUUCUCUUGUACUAGCCACAUGCCCACUCCUCAUGGCUACUGCUAGCCUCAUCUAAGAACUGGGGACCCAGCCUGGCAGGAUAAGUGUGGCUCCAUGCUUUAAGCCAGAGAAUUUAGGAGACUAUGAUCUGUUGCUGUGUCAAUCUGAAAGCUGAGGGAUCUGAAGGGUACGUGGUACCCAUUCUCUGACUCUCACUCCCAAAAGUCCUUUUCUCCCUGGGUCAACAUACGGUUGGUGCCCAAGGCCCUUCCUAGGAAUUGGAAGCCAACAGUGACACAAAGCACUUAGGAGGCACACAACCACAAAUGUGUGAGGUUUGCCUUCCCAUAUUUUCUGGACCCAUGUUCAAGCCUGGAACUCUCUAGUUCAUAAAGGGUUUUACUCUUGCAGGAGUCAGCAAACUAUGGCCUGUGGGUGGAGGGCCAGAUGGGGCCAUGCUCAUUCAUUUACAUACUGUCUAAUGGUUGCUCAAAAAUCACAGAGUUGAGUAACUAAGACAGACUGGAAGGCCCACACAGGCAAAAAAUGUACUAUCCGGACAUCCACAUAAACAGUUUGCAGGCCACUGAUUUAGAGUAAGACCAGUUCUCCUGGGGGCAAUGGAUUGUCUUUCUUUGCUUUCAGCCUGACCAAUGCCCGUGGGUAGGGAUGGAGAGGGAGCCCAUCUCUCUAGUUGAUUCUGAUGAGAAGAACCAGGGUGACCCACCUGGAAUGUGAGCCUCUGAUCUUCCAGGCAUCUGGCAUGCCCAUUUCUUCCACAGAGCAGGAUAGAAGCUCCUCCCAGCAGGGGGUCUUGACUAUUUGAGACCACUGUAAAAGAAAAGUAAGAACAAGUGAUUCACGUUUGUGUUUCCUGUAAAAAGAACAUGGUUGUCAGUGCUAUUAACCUGGUUACCACUGACUUUGACGCAGAUACAGCCGGUUCAUGUUUCAGAACUUCAUGAAACAGGCCUGUGCCUUCAAUCAGAGGCAGCCCAAAAGACAAAAUUGCCAACACUUUCUAUUUGCAGUGGCCCAGGAAUUAUCAAAUAACCUUAGUUCCUAUUAAACUCCUGCCUAUUUACCAUUGCCUAAACCUGGAGGCAAAAUCUAAAUCCAAACCAUCACAGGUAAUCUCCAAUCUCACAUACUUUUCCAAAAGAUUCAUGUGUUAGGAAAGGAUGAUUGAUGGCUCAAAAGUCACCAG